UCCGAGUAAUCUCCUCUUGAAAAGUUAUAUCUGCCUUUUCCUUCACCUUAAACAGAGCAAUUGUACUACUUGGAGGCAACCAUCAUGUCUCUGCAUAGUCCAAGAACAAUUGUACCCAUAGACUUGAAGAAGCGGCCAUGGGAACAGAAACUACCACUUCACAACCGGUGGCACCCAGAUAUACCUCCGGUUGCAGAGGUUAGAGCAGGAGAGGUUUUCAGAGUAGAGAUGAUGGACUUUUCUGGCGCGGAGAUUACACAGGAAAACUCUGCCGAAGACAUUAAACAUGUCAAUCCCUCAAUUGCAUACUCUUUGCCCCACUCUACUGGUUCGCCCAUGGCUCCUCCAACUCCAAGAGUCGUGGUACCAAUAGACCUGAAGAAGAAACCAUGGGAACAGAAAGUCCCUCUUCACAAUCGUUGGCAUCCUGGCAUACCAUCGGUUGCAGAGGCGAAGACUGGAGAGGUUUUCAGAAUAGAGAUGGUAGACUGGACAGGAGGAGCUAUAAAAGACGAUGAAUCUGCAAAUGAUAUAAAAUUCAUGGACCUCUCUACUAUCCAUUACCUCAGCGGGCCAAUUAAAGUUAUGGAUGCAGACGGGAUUCCAGCAAAGCCUGGAGACCUUCUUCUUGUUGAAAUCUGCAACUUGGGUCCUCUCCCCGGGGAUGAAUGGGGUUAUACUGCAACAUUUGAUAGAGAAAACGGCGGUGGCUUUCUGACUGAUCAUUUUCCUUGUGCAACCAAAGCCAUCUGGUAUUUUGAAGGAAUAUAUGCUUACUCUCCUCAAAUACCAGGUGUACGUUUUCCUGGGUUAACUCACCCUGGAAUAAUUGGAACUGCACCUUCAAUGGAACUCCUUCAUAUAUGGAAUAAAAGGGAACGAGAACUUGAAGAAACUGGGGCUCAAACUCUUAAACUGUGCGAAGUUUUGCAUUCCCGGCCAUUGGCAAACCUACCAUCAGCUGAUGGUUGCCUUCUUGGAAAGAUUCAAGAGGGGACAGCUGAAUGGGCAAAAAUUGCUAAUGAGGCUGCAAGGACAGUUCCUGGAAGAGAAAAUGGAGGGAACUGUGACAUAAAAAACCUCAGCAGAGGAUCAAAAAUAUACCUUCCAGUAUUUGUAGAUGGAGCAAAUUUUAGCACUGGGGACAUGCACUUCUCUCAAGGUGAUGGUGAAGUCUCAUUCUGCGGGGCAAUUGAGAUGAGUGGUUUUCUAGAACUCAAGUGUGAAAUCAUUAGAAAUGGAAUGAAAGAGUACCUCACACCGAUGGGGCCAACUCCCUUGCAUGUAAACCCAAUAUUCGAGAUAGGCCCGGUUGAGCCAAGAUUCUCAGAGUGGUUAGUAUUCGAGGGCAUCAGUGUUGAUGAAAGUGGAAAGCAGCACUACCUUGAUGCAAGUGUCGCUUACAAGCGUGCCGUGCUCAAUGCAAUUGACUAUCUCUCCAGAUUUGGGUACUCAAAGGAACAGAUCUAUCUUCUGCUGUCAUGUUGCCCUUGCGAAGGAAGGAUUUCAGGAAUAGUUGAUUGUCCUAAUGCUGUUGCCACCCUCGCAAUCCCAACAGCCAUCUUUGAUCAGGUCAUCAGGCAUAUCAAGAUUAUUUCCAAGAUAGGUAGAAUAACCAAGGUGGAUCAUUAACUUUUCACAUUUCUAAACCAUUUCCAAUCAAUGCCCGAGGUACACCACUACUGGCAAAAGCAAUGUAAUCAUUCAAGGAUGUUCGUCCAAAAACCAAGAAAGUGCCAGCUGGGCCACGGCUGCUGAAGAGUCCAGAUGUCUUUAAAUGCACUUAUGAUGGUGAUUUGCCCACCACAAAGAACCUUUGCACAAGUAUUUAAUGACUGCCAAUUGGAGGGUUUAUGCUAACCCUUAAGGUAUGCUGAGACAAAUUCAAAUGUGGCUGGAGAAGCUUCCUUUAUGCUAAGUACUGGAGACAAAUUAUACCA